rnacentral:rRNA from 1 species
AGGCGAAGGAGCGAUCCGGAGCAAACCCCAGAAAUAACGUCCCAGUUCGGAUUGCAGGCUGCAACCCGCCUGCAUGAAGCUGGAAUCGCUAGUAAUCGCGGAUCAGAAUGCCGCGGUGAAUACGUUCCCGGGUCUUGUACACACCGCCCGUCACACCAUGGGAGUCGGUAACGCCCGAAGUCAGUGACCCAACCGAGAGGAGGGAGCUGCCGAAGGCGGGACUGGUAACUGGGGUGAAGUCGUAACAAGGUAUC